rnacentral:tRNA from 1 species
GUGCCUGUGGCUCAAAGUAGGGCGCCAGCUCCAUAUGCUGGAGGUGGCAGGUUCAAACCCAGCCACA